GUGCUCGCUUCGGCAGCACGUAUACUAAAACUGGAACAAUGCAGAGGUUAGCAUGGGCUCUGUGCAAAGAUGACACGUAAGUUAGUGAAGCAUCCCAUACUUUG